GAACAUACCACUCGACGACAGAAAACGAAACGCUUCAAAACCGUGAAGCCCGUGAGCGCGCGCUCUGAUGGUGCGCGUGGAAACGUUCGGUUAAUGCACGCGUUUACGUUUUCCGUGGUGUUGACCCAAAGUGCCGGCUUCCAGUGGAGGAAAAAACAUGGAGUAUUGUGUUCGGCAGAUGGCACAACUAUCCUUGUAAAUCUCUUUCAUGAUGGUGGUGAAGAAAUCAUCGCGCUGUGCCUAUGCUUCGAGAUAUCCGCACAUCAGCGAAUGAAGAUAUGACAGCUCCAAGGGGUGCACUUGUUCUAUUGGAACCACUUUGUUUCCACUUGUGUCCCACGACACCAAGAUCCCCUUCUCUGUAGUGACUGUAGUUAUAUGUUUGGUGCUGUUUUGGAAAAUUAUGCAUUGUGCAUUUCUCGUUCUCGAAGUGUUUUUGUCGGGCGAGAAUUUAAAAUUUAUCCACGUGCUAUAUAGGGGUGGCAACAUAGAUAAAACCUUAUGCUGUGUGCACGGUUCCUUUCCUUGUUUCUGGUUGUUGCCCCUUGAGAUGAAGUAAGCAACGUGCAUUUUUAUUCUGACAACUCCGAAAGAACACUCUCGGCUUACAGCUUCGUUGGUGUCACUCAAGUUCCCCAGCACGAUCGCAUUUGUUGGUCCGCAUCAUGCAGUAGAACAUUUGGCAACUCAGUUUGCCUGUUUCAUAUAGGAGAUGCACACACACAUAAAAAAAGAAGUAGAAAACACCAUGUCUCACCAUUGGAGAAGUGAGCUGCCACAGUGAUGUACAGUGGGGGCAAAAUAUUCGAGCAUUGGAAGAACCGAAAACCAUUUGCAAUUCCAAAACUCAAUGCCAAGUUGCAUUCCUGUGCCCUCUGAUUAAGCAAGUGCCAGGUGUCGAAACACAGCAUUGCACAGGCAUGUCCUUUCAUGCUCACGUGCCUGCCAAUUCGCCCACUUCUUCGCAGCCUGCUGUAGGAGUUGCAGUGAGUGAGAAAGAUCACGCCGGGAGAGCGGCACCUGUUUUGGCGGUUCUGAUGUGAGACAACGCACACGCUCCGCUGGCCGAAACAGACGCCGCUCUCUUAGUGCAAUGUUUUGUACAUUACACAAUGUUUUGUACAUUUUUUACAAUCCCGACUGCAGGCGUCGGUGACCAGAAGUGGGCACAUUGGCAGGUACAGAAGGACAUGCAUGCACAAGACCGUGUCACCGCACCAGACACUUGCUUUCUCAGUGGGGGCAGGAAUGCUCUUCAGCGCCCACUUGUAGAUCCCGUAAUAUUUUGUCGCCACCUGUGUGCUGCUUUUCACCAUCUGUCAGGAACCAGAAAUCUGGACAAACUAGGCAAAGAAAUAUACCAUGUUUCAUUGAUUGAUACAUGCUAAAAGAUACAAUUAUGUGAAAUUUGAGCGAUAGAAAAGCAGUGGUAAGCGCAUGAUGAAAUUUUUGGAGUUGUUAGAACAUAAACUGGCAGGACACUAUAAAGGGGCAGUUAUGAAGCUCAAUGUCAACUGCAAUAGCGGCUCACAUUGCAUUUCCAAAUACAAUUAACCUAUGUCCAUGAUGUGCAGAACAGGCUCGUAAAGGGACACCGAGGAGGGAUUGCUAGGUUCAGCUGGAACGGUUAAUCACCUUUCUGGGAUACCACUUUGUUCAGUCUUACCAUUAGCUAAUACCAGGUAAGGCAGCAAAGAGGCAGAAACCAAGGACCAGGGGCGAUGACACCUUGGAACCUAUCUCACCAGCCCCCUGUAACUUGAUGGACUAAAUUUGUAGUGCCUGCUUGGACGACUUAAUUCUUCAUGGAUAACCGAAGGCUACGUUAAAUUCUACCCGACUCGACCUGGAAACUGUUUGAAAAACUUUCUUCUACGUGAAAAUGGUUCGAAUAUAUAAAAAUGUUUUGUAAUACCUUAUGUCCCACUGAUGUACCUGUGCUGCAGCAGAGGCGUGAAAUAUAAUGAAUGAAAGUUUGGCAUUAAUCUUCUUUGCUACUUGUCACAAGUCAACAUUUUUGCAACUAACAGCAGAAAUCGAUUUUUCAAAUAAUGCUUUAUGAGUCGCACAGAUUUAGUGUUUCUCUGAAGUGUCUCUUUAAUGAAAGGUGUGUCAUUUACAAGCCACCGUAGCACCAUUUUUUACCAUUGCUUGACCUUCCUGCUCCAGUUGUUUGAUUGCAUUGCAAAAGGUUUUGUAAUUCAAAUUUAUUUAAGUUAUGAGGAAAGUACCAUGCUAUGAAAGUAGCCAUAGAUGGUAGUAGCAUGCACUCGGAAAGGGCAUUUGACAGAUACAUUGUUUUGCUGACUAAAAGUGUAACUUGACGAAAAGCAUUGGUGGCCACCUGAGUUGCAGUUUAUGUUAUGAUUGAUAUUGUUCAAGUGGUCUUACAAGCAUGUUACCACAUCAUGCGAGCCAGCCAAUUGUAUAUUGUUUCACAUGUGAAUUCAUACAGCCAUGCACGACCUGUGCAUUGCCACAUGCUGCAAUGUUACAUUUUGGCCAGCCUCACUCUCUCGCAGUAUAAACUCGUUGUUGCACUAAUGCCAAGUGCAUGUCUGUAGGACAUUUAUGCACCCUUUGCAAAUCGUUGAAGUUGGCGUCUUUGUACAGUCGAAAUCGCCUCUGCAACUACCGUGGUGAAGAAACUGAUGCAAAAAUCUGGAGCAGCGUUGGCAAUUUCAUGCAUGUGGUGAAUGUGUACAUGCAUCGACCAUGCGGCAGCUUCCCACUGCAGCGUUUAAUCUCUAAUGCCGUACAGGUGUACAGGAAGUGACCUCAACUUUCCGUGGCAGCCGUCCCUCCCUCCACAUCAUCCACUCUCUUGUGGCUGUUUGACAAAACUUGAGCUAGGGUGCAUUAGCUAGCACUACUCGUGGCCAUUGUAGCAGGAGCGGUACUCUCAGGCAAUCACUUUCAGAGACACUUUCGCUUUUGUAAGAUUUCACGAUGCUUAGCGCCUGAUGCUUUCGGCGUCCACGAGCCACAGGAUUCUACCACUGUGUCCACCAUGCUAACACAGCAUGCGAGGAAUGCUGUCACUCGUAGACAUCGACAUGGCUGGCGCUGGUGUAGGGAAAUCUUGUGAAAGUUGAAGUAUCUCUGAAAGGAACUGCCCAAGAAUGCUGCUCCAGACUGGGAGCUUGUUGGCCGUGAUUGGCUUGCAGAUCUGCCCCAGUGGCUGUGAGUGGUGGUGGCUAACACACCCAGGGUAGGUUUGUGAGCAUGCACAAAAUACCCGAGAGAAUAGAUUGUGAGAGAGAAAAUAUUUGCCACUGGGGUAGCUCAAUUGGUAAAGGAUGGCGCAUGUCAUGUGGAGAUUGCUGGUUUGGCUCUCCCUGGCAGCAAGGUGUCAUUUCUUCUAUUUUUAUUUCCCCCCUUUUUUUUUAUUGUUUCUACCAGCAAAACUCGCAGGUUGUCAUGUAGGCUUGCGCCGCGAAACAGAGAGCAAAGCUUGCAUUAUCCAUUUUGUUUUUGCAUUCCUUUGAAAACCUUUGUCAUAUCGUUUCACUUCUGAUAAUGUAAAAUACUGUGUUUAGCAAACAGAGAAUAGUGACUAGACUUUAACACUUGGUUGUUGCAAAGUAUUUAGUACAACUAGUGAGUAACAUUCGAUUUGUAUUCAAAGCUUCAAACAAUAAUACCCCUGAUUUCUACUUCUCAACUAAAAAAAUCAAAUUCACCUUACGCAGUCCUUGGCUUCAUCUGUUGCCAUUGUAUUUCUGGCUCGUGAAAGUUUCUCUAGGAAACUAGCAAGACCGAAUUUCCUUUUUCAUAAAGAAAGGCUGGUUCUCGUUGCCUUAGCAUAUGUCAUGAUUAGCCUUUUUCUUUCUUAAAGGCCCAUGACUUAUGCUUUUUAUGCAGUGAUUGAAAUAAUUUUGUUCAUUUUUAAAUAUCGAAGCAGCCUUUCUUGUAAUUUGAGUGUAAAGGUGUGCCAAAAUUCAGAACCAAAUGGCUUCAGUGUUGUCUUGAGAUAUAGGACACACCAAGUUCUGGCUUUAAGUGCUUUACCAAGACAGUCUUUGUUAAUGUCGUGUAUUAAGCGUGAUGCUUGAAACAUUGUGCACUUUUUAACGGCGUUUUUAUUGCAUCAGGGAGAACCAUAUGACUGUGUGUGCAGAGCUGAUGCUUAACAUAAAAGUGGGUUGUCUUCGAGAUUUUGUUGUUUUUGUAUUUAUUUAUUAUUAUUUUCUUGGCUACUGCUGAUGCCCAACGUAUGCAAGCAUAUGCUUUCACGGUGCUCCUUCAGCAUUUCUCUUACUUGAGUGGCUUUCUUUUCUCUCUAGUGACCGGCACCUCGUUCUGGAAGGACGUACCAAAAUCGGUGCAUCGUUCGGACACGCAAGGAAGCGGUACAAGCGUCAAGCUUAAAACCCACGCUUACAGCGAAAACGCCAAGCAGCGGGGUGAUUUCUACAACUUCUCACUUCACAGGAGCAACAGCCCCUACGCAGCCAGCAGCCAGUCGCGCAAGAGGGGAAAUUUCAAGUGCCGGUACUGCGGUCGAUUCUUCGUCUACCUGACGCCUUUUAUUGCCCACGAAGAGGCACACACCAACGAGAAGCGCUUCCGCUGCUACUUCUGCCCCGAGGCCUUUGUCACCCGCCAGCUAUUGACCAUCCACCUGCGUAUCCACAAGGACGAGAUACUUGGCGACAGCGACGAUGCGCCAUAGGAGUGAAUCUGGGCAUGGUGGUGGUCCAGCUUCACAUCUCUGAAUUCGGGGUGGCAACAACUGCGGGCAAUGAAGUUGCAGCCGUCGGCCCACAUAAGCAAGCCCCUCGUCGUGCCGUGUUUUCCAGUGAUCCAAGACUGUUCAGAGUGUGUUGUGCAAUGUUGUGUAUGGACGGCAACCUGCUGCUUGCCCUGCUAAACUGCACAGUUCUGCUGCUUCAUCCUAGCUGCAUGUGUCGCCUCAUGGAUGUGCACAGCAAAUCUUUUGAGGUGCACGAGCACUUGUUGACGCAUACUACCAUGUUGCGUCACCUGAGCAGCAGAAAGUGCAUUAUGCACCAUGGUAAUGAUUUGGAUGCCAGUUUUUUCCACAGGAACUCCUCAGCUUGGCAUUUUUCCUAAAGUAUGAGGAAGAGAAUACGAGUGAGCUGUGCUUUCCUCGGUACUUCUGUCCCGGUGCUUUUCGAAGCUGUUAUUCAGUGUGUACAUUUACAACCACCACAGGUGGCAUCUGGUGUUCAUGGCACCAGUGACCUGUCUUAUCUUGGGGAAAACUUGGUGGCAGAUUUAUGUGGUGCAACCCACGUCUACUCUCUAGUGUGCCCUUAGGUGCUAGGCUUUCUGCAGACUGUUUAGCUUCCUUGAUGUGUUUGGUGUUCCUGUUUUGCUUAUCAGUGUGCUUAUGAGUUUAAUAUAGGCCGUGGCACUUCCUCUGUUAGUGCUGUGCCGGUGUUGACUUUGCCAUGAUUAGGUGUGUGCUCUGCGAUGUGCUUGCCUGGCUGCUGCACCAUAGCUGCACCACCAAACAGGAUUUGACCUAGGUUUGGAUCCAGAUGUGUCUUUCAGUACCGUGCAGUGGCUGCCUGUCUAAUUGUUUGCCGACUAGUUGGCACCUAAUAGCCAUUUGUAAACUGAUGGCUGUGGCAUAGCUGGUGGUUUGAUGUUUUGUACUGAUAGUGUAAUGUUUAUUAGUGUGAUGCUGUAGCACUAAUGCCAUCACAGGGGCUCAGAAACACUGUUGUCACUAGGUGUACAUGAGCAACCAUAUGAUUGGGGUUCUCUGGCAACCACGUGAUACCAGUCUGCAGAGCAUCUCAUCAUGCCUUGUUACAUUGUUCACCAUACUGAGUUUUAUGUGAGCGAUCUGUGAGCUAAGUGCCUUUUCAGAAAUUGUGCUACUUACUUUUUUGGCUUUACUUAAAAAAGCUGUCUUCCAAGAAACUUUAAGACAGCACUUGCUUUGAAAUGUGUUAUGCAGCAUUGCACAGGCCAUGUUUUACUUGCAGCAGCAAUAUAAAUCAAGACUCGGUGGCAGCGUAUUGACUUAUCUAACGGACGAGAGCUUUGUACGCCCUAGUGCUCCCAAGUUACAUGCGUGCAAUUUGGGAGUUGUCUGUAAGCAAUAGGACACCAGUGGUGUGUUGCCUGUGAGAUGUCUGGCUUGGAAGGAAACAAAAACAAAGUAACAACGCAAAUAUGUACAUGGAGCCUUGUCCAGCAGAUAAUGCAGCUCGCUUCACUCUUGAUAUUUGAGCUGCAAACAAUUGUGUGCACCUAUGCAUGAUCUUGGCGGGGCAUGAAGUCAGUCUUAACGAUGCUAUGGCGUUGGCAAAGACCAGAUUGCCGUUUCACUCUAUUUACCAAAAUUUCAUAGAUAGGUGGCAGUCUUUAGUAGCAUUGAAAUCAGUCUACAGCGCAACCUAACCUGCAGCCCCAUGGGCAUGACUGACAACUUAUGUCUCGCACAUCACAUCUGUUACAGGUGUAAUUCAUGCUGCUGGUGUUCUGAUCGUGGCGUAGAGGCCAGGCUUGGCUUGGCCUAAAGGGAUAUGAGAAGCCUUGGAUUUGUCAUGCAAAUAAUUUUGUUUUUUUCUUUUUUUGCAAAUCCAUCUAGCAAAAGCUAGAAGUGGCAUAGUGUAAAGAACAGCCUCCUGACUUACUCUAGGCUUAUAAUUCUAAAGCUUCCCGAAAUGUGAAACCUGAAGUUGGUCGCCUGUCAAUUUUGGAGUUAAUUGGCAUUUACAGACUUAGAGCGGCACAGUGGCAUUGAUGAAUUUAGUCUCAUGCCAAGCACUACAGGAAAUUUAGCUCCAUCAUAUUGAUUCUAGAAGAUGACGAGAGUUGAGAGCAUUUCUACGAAUUCCACUAACCAAGUUCAUUGUUUUAUAUUUCAGUGACAGUGUUUGGUGGAGCAUCAUCAUGUAUAUUUAACUAACUUGUAAAGUGCUUAUUUGACAAUGAGUGAGUUAAAAAUUUGUCACAGCUACAAAUUUUGCUAACCAACCUAUUUGCUAUAUAACUUAAGCACUAUUUGCAGUGCAACAUCAUCCGUCAGGCAGGUUGAGCAUGAACAAAUUGAAUUUAUCACACUAGUAUAUGCUAAAACAGAGCAAAAAUUGCCAUGCCUGGCACUGCUCAUAUGCUUUGAAUUAUUGUUCACGCAGCUUUCUUUUCUUACAUUGUAUAUUGCCUCAUGCAACAAAGUCGUUUUACAAGCAAAAGUGUGCACAAAUAUUUCGUCUAGUCGUCUUGGUCACAAUGAGUGCUUGGCUACAAAUUGCAUUGAGGGAUUGUGGGAUGUUGUAGUUCGUGGCUUCUCUAUUGCUGUUUUCAGCCGCUCUUGUGGACCAUUUAUUUGCUUUCUCAAGAUAAAGUGCUUGCUUAAAUUUUGCCUGUAGCCCACAGUGCAGAAUGCAGCAUGUGGCACUUAUGAAACACUAGGUGUAGUGGUUAGGCGCUAAGCCUAACAUGUUAGGCCUAGUACAUCGGUGAUGAUGUACUAGGCCAAUUUCGUUAUGCAAGUCAUUGAUGUUUCUGUUUGUGUGCAUGCUUUAAUGCCUGAAUAGUAGCAGAAGGCAGCUUGUUUGUGCAGCUAGUCCAGGGAAUGGUGCUUAAUUUUACAUUCUUGUUUGUAUCGUUGCUUUUGCAUCAGAUGCCCAGAAUUACUUACGGUGCAAAAUUAUUGUCUUUGAUAGCGACUGAUCAAACCAUCCAGUGAUACUGCAACUGUUUCUUUCGUGAUUGCCUUCCAAAAUUCCUGAAGGAAGUUUGAUGUGUUUGGUGCAGUGUAUUGGGGAGGGGGGGGAAUGUUUUGUGUGCAGUGGUAUCUGCCAGUGCGUAUUAGCACUUCCCCGUGUGCAAGACAUUAGUUGCAAUUUAGCAUUUCUUUUUUUUUUUUAGUUCUUGCAGUCAGUGUAGUGUUCGGUGUUGUUUUUUGUGUAAAUGUGUUCACUUCUCUAAUUGUAAUGUGUAUGCGUGCUUGGGUAUACUUCAUAAAGUUUGGAUUGUAAGGUUUAUGUUGCUUAUAAGAAAAUAUGUAGACAGCGGUCGUCAACACAGAGACAACAUACUGUGCCCCAGGUUCAAUAAAGUGCUUGAAUAGUCUUA